GUAGGAUGAAUGAUCGCGGCCGGUCAGUUUUCUGACCGGGUGAGGAAAGUCCGGGCUUCAUAGGGCAGGAUGCCGGAUAACGUCCGGUGGAGGUGACUCCCAGGCUAGUGCAACAGAAAUAAUACCACCACACUUUGUGUGGCCAGGGUGGAAUGGCAGUGUAAGAGACUACCGCUUGACUGGUAACAGGCAAGGCUGUGUAAACCCCAUCCGAAGCAAGACCAAGCAGAGAACUAUAGGCUGACCCGGUCUGUUCUCAGGUAGGUCGCUUGAGGCUAUUGGUAACAAUAGUCCUAGAUAGAUGAUCAUUUUAAAGGACAUAACCCGGCUUACAGUCCUACUUA
rnacentral:RNase_P_RNA from 1 species